UAUGUACUCCUUCCGUCCAAAAAAGCUUGUCCCUCAAAUGGAUGUAUCUUGCACUAUCCCUCAAAUGGAUGUAUCUUGCACUAACUUGGUGCUAGAUACAUCCAUUUGAGGGACAAGCUUUUUCGGACAGAGGGAGUAUCUC
rfam:Triticum aestivum genome assembly, contig: Triticum_aestivum_CS42_TGACv1_scaffold_559857_7AL